UUUCUGGGAACGACCGAUAGGGAUUUUCCGCCGGGAGCUGAGGUUUGCGGGGGCUGAGCUCGAACCCGCUGGAAGUUCUGAGCACCCCGGUGCUGGAGGCGGGGGUCCCAGCGCGCCCGGGCCUCCCGGGGGCUUCUGCGCCCCAGACAGCACCCGGCGCGCUUUCCGGAGUGCUCGGAGUCACCCACCGCCCCAGAGAGGGUCAAGCUGCACGCUGGGACCAGCCGGGAGCGAGCGCUUUUCCACGGCGCCAGCCGAGGGGAGAGCCCCUCAUUCCUGUUUAAAGGCUUUCAGGAACGGGCUCCAACCCUUUUGAGUUUACAGGCGUCCAGAUGACAAGACAGGAAGAGGGGGCUGCCUCCCUGAAGAUGAAGUUGCUGCUAAAGUCGCACCACAUCUGCUUCUUCUGACAGCGCAGGCACUGGAGCUCCGGAAUCUUCCUUCUUGAGGCAUAGUGACCGGUUAAAACCACCCAGUGCAGGAGCCGUUAACCCGUUGAUGCUUCAGGCCAGGGAAUUCACCCGAGCGGGAAACGAGCCCGGAAACUCAACGGGCCUGAGAAGCCUCAUGGACUGCAGAUGCUUAUCAAGUCUAAAAGCGAGGCCAAGAAGAGAGGAGCCCCAGCUGGAACGCAGACCUGGGAAGGGGAGGAGAUGUCAGGUUUCACCUUGUCCUUGUUUUGUGUGGAGUCUUUUGAGAACCCCUGGUCUAGACAGAGGCAAGCAAUUUCGAACCUUUUACAGGAAAUCGCAUGGACAAUGACCAGGACAGAUAGACACAUGUCUGCAGUGACAGCACGCCCGGGCCGCGGCCCUGGGAGCACCCUGGGCCUGCACGGGCCGCCCUCGGCCUGCGGGGCUCUGCUGGUCAGCGGCUCUGCUGGUCAGCGGCCCUGCUCAUUCUGCCCGGCCGGCUUGGAGCUUGGAGUGGUGCCUGGCCCCGGGUGCCGAGCUUCUCUUGCAGGUAACAGCUCCAUCAUUGCCCCUGGCUACCUUGAAACAAUCCUCCUCCAAUGCCACCUUUGUUGGGGCAUUUAAAGUGAGACCAAGUCUCCAGGAAGACCUUUCCUGUUUCACUGUUGCAGUAAUGGAUCAAUAACAUUUUCAUAGCUCCUCUUUUCUUUUUUGUAACCAUUUGUCUAAUGAGAGCUGCUGUUCAGGCCCGAUGGCUUCAACGGGCUCCUCUGGCCUCCAGAAAGUCACAGCUGGCCCCUCAGGUGACCAGAUUCUUCCAAAAAUUCCAUCUUGGUUCCUUCUUUGAAGAAUUUUGCCUUUAAACUUUUCCGGAUAAACAGUUCUUCCUUUUACAUCUUCGCAUUACUGUGCAUAGAAUCAUAGACUGCAAAACUGCAAAGAGCUUUGCUUUGGAUCCUGAACUUUUUAAAGCGUAAGCCAUCCAUUGUGGAUGACUCCAGAGGGAAAUCUCAGCAGGCUGGAGUCCCCCAAGAUACAUUUAAUGCAGCACUUUCUCUCACUUAAUAACCAACGCUCCAUGUAGUAUCUAUAAAUACACAACACUAUUGCAGACACAGCAGUUUAAAGUAGGAAUAGUGUGAAAAGCUUUAGGUUUUAUCACAAACCAAAUGUUAUCUGGGGCAGUCAUUUUGGGAAAGAGUACUUCUUUGAAUUAAACAUAAGGCUUGAUUCCAGGGCAUGUUGUCUGCACUUUACUGGAAGCAAAGGAAAUAUUGGGCUCAAUAACAUGCAUGAAUAUUUCUGUCUGCUCUCUGUAUUGUGUGCUGUUCUUUUUGAUAGAGCAAAACUUCAUUAUGAAAUCAUUAAUGCUAUUGCUUAUACAAAGUAAUAGGCAGUUAACUCGGUGUUAUUUCAGUAUACUUCAUUUAAAUUAUCUCUUAAUUUUUGAAGGAUAUCAUAAAUUGAACAGAUAAUUAAGUUUGUUUUCUAUUUUUAAGAAAAUUACCUUGUAAAUUGACAUGUUUUCCUUUAGAGAUAAAGGCUCCUUAAUAUGUGGAGUACAAGCAAACUAAAUGUAUGGUAUUUUGUUUCUUUUUUGUUUAAGAAAAAAGUGGUAUUAGCAUCAUUAGUGAUUUCAAAAAUUUUAAUUUGCUACCUAAAGUUGAAUGGAAAUGAGUUACACCAGUUCAAUGACUUAGAAAGAAAAUCUCAAUUAAAAAAUUCCUCCUUAUAAAUCCAUGUCCAGCAAGGCAAAUAUGUAGACGCUUACCCCAUACCUAAUUGUUGCACUGCUGUCAAUUUCCUAUUGGCAGCAGGUGAUCUGCAGCUUUAUUGGCGUUGUCGCAGCCGUAAGCAUGCCUCGUCCUACCCUAACUGAGAGGAUUGGGGCUUUGGGAGUGGAAUGCCAACGUCCAGGGGUUAGAGAAAGAAAGGCGUCCUCCUGGCUCGCCGUCCACGUCCGCUGUUUUCCAGGUCCCAGGUCCCAACGGGGGACUCCACUGUGCCCUGAUCAGGAGGCUUUGGGCCACCUCCUCUGUAUUAGUGACACCUCCGGGAAACCCCAGGCCUUCUGCAUUCCUAGAUGAUUCGAACACAGCUGUCACCCCGUCAGCUGUAAGGAGUUGCUCAACUGCUCGUUGUCCUGUUUCAUGAGCUCCUCGCACCAAGGUCCCAGGGUUCCAGCGCCCGCUCGGGGGGCUUCACUUUGUGCUCCCCUUCCCCAGCUCCUCUCCCGGGCCCCAGGCGCGCUGGUCUGGGGUCUCCGUUCUAGGCCCCACGACUUAAUUCCUUGUUCCAAGUGGAUGCUCCACCUCAGGCGCAGCAGCUCCCAGGUGCGCUGACCGCACAGCGUGGGCCGGAGCAGGGCUCUGGGGGGCAGGAGGGCCAGGCGGGAUUCGCUGGUCCUCACCACGGCCGCCCCGUGCGGAUCUCCUGGCAGAGCCUCAGCUGGCAAGGGUCCUGCUAUUUCUGUGCAGUUACUGGCCUAAGCUGACAAAAAAUGCACUGCAUGAAAACAAAAUUAAAAUCCGUGAUUACUCUGUCACAGCAGCAGAAUGCUGCUGCCAAACGCCACGGAGUCUCUCAUUAGCAUCACUUGCAGUUUGUGGGGAAAUGACUUCACCACUGAGCUACACACUUAGAAUUCCAACAUCGAUUAAUCGAACCAUGACUCUGUGAUCACGAAAGCAAUUGCUUUUAACUGUUUGAUUUUAUGCUCUUUCUCGUCAUUUUCAAAAUCAUCAUAUUUCAGUAAUAACAUGUAUUAUGCUUUUUCUAGUAGGUUGGUUAUUAGCAAACAUCUUCUAGUUUUCUGACCAGCAUACAUUUGUUUUAAGUUGCUAAGAAUGACAUAAAAUGUUCCAAUGAAAUCUUUAAAUGAGGAUGUUUUGACGUUGAUUAUCAAGAUUACUGCCAUCAGCAUGACUUGCUGAAUAUUUCAAGAGCCUGGGAAGGAACUUGGACUCUGAUUUCCCUUACUGUGAGAAAAUGACAUUGCUGAUCACUAAUCAGCAGACUACGUUACUGGAAUUGUUUUCCCAGGUGUGGCAAUCAGCUUCCGCUGUGUCUACCCUAUAAACACACCGCGUUUGUAGCACUGGGUGAACAUCUGAUAGAAGCCCAGGGGGCGAAAAUUAAAGACCCGCCGCCACCCCUAAGUGGAUGUUUUUGUAAAUCCCAAACCCGAAACUUGCUUUUUAUCAGUGAACAGCUUCACUUAUUUGUUCAUUAAAGUACUUAUUGAAUGUAAGUCGUUAUUCUCUUCGAUGCUAUGGGAUACAUAAAUGAAUAAUGUCUGUCUUAAACCUCAAGGUAUCUUGCCACGAGGUGGGAAAUGCCAUAAUACAAAUCCCACUUACAUUUUUUUUUUUUACAGCUGCUUAGGUUUGUGAGAGCCAGAGAAUAAACAAAGUUAUUGCAGAGAUGAAACUUCUCUU
ensembl:lincRNA